rnacentral:misc_RNA from 1 species
GCAAACUUGGUCAUUUAGAGGAAGUAAAAGUCGUAACAAGGUUUCCGUAGGUGAACCUGCGGAAGGAUCAUUAACGAGCUUGAAGCGCCCCUUUGGUUGAGCUGGUCGCAAGGCAUGUGCUCGCCGAAGGGAAGCGUUCCUUCUCCCAAUCUCCCCUUUUUGUGCACCUUUGCGUGGGUUGGAAGGCCGUAAAAAGCUGGAAAGCCUACGAUCUCUAUCUACCUCCACCGUACGGUACUUAGAAUGUCAUGGCUUGCGAUAAGUCGCAAUCAACCUGUAACAACUUUCAGCAACGGAUCUCUUGGCUCUCGCAUCGAUGAAGAACGCAGC